rnacentral:lncRNA from 10 species
UUCUGCCCUGGAGUUUAGCAGCUGCAGAAGCUACAGAAGGAUAUUUGGCCUGAGUUUUAAGAGAAGAAGAGUCUACUGAGCUGGCCCAGUCAAACUGAUGGCAAUGGUCACUCUUCUUAGCCCUGUGUGACCACAAGGACCGUUCACCAUAACGCUUUUGGAUAACUCUUUCACCAGCUUCAGGUGAAGAGGGAAAUGAGGACAGAGAAUGCAUAUACAUAAGGCGUGGGAAGCCUUCAUCACACCCACGUGUCUUCUGAGCCUUCCCAGGUGAUCCAGCGGUUCCCUACAUUUGACCUCAGGAUCCUUUGCCCGUGUCCAUACACUUUGCCACACUGUGUUUCCUCUAUUGGCAUCGUUUUGCAUAUGAUAGAGCUUCUGAAAAGAAAAACAAGUUCAUAUCACUGUUGCAGCUUGAACAAAAGAAGCAUGUCUUACACACAGCAGAGUCAAACUCCCUGUUGUAUGUGGUCAAAAUGCACCCAUGGUACUCAGAGUUUGACAGUGUUUUACUCUAAGGGGUUCCACAAAUAAAGCCAAUUAGUAAUUAUACUUUAUGAAAAGCUCAAUAACUGAGGAAAUACUGCAAUUUGUUUCAAGUACAAAAAACGGGCAUUGUCUGUGGUAAGAGAUGAUGGACUUUUUUCUUUCUGUAAAAUUUUAUGAACUCCUUCUACUUGUAAAACGAUAUUCCCUUCAUACGAAUGUAUGUUAAUGUUUUUAGAGCAAAACUAUUUAAAACUCACCCAGGAUAAAAUCAUCCCAGCUAACUUUCAUCCUUUGAGAAAAGAAAAUAUGAUAAAUUAGUUUUUAUUAUUCAUUUUAAUACAAAAUGGUUCUAAAAACUGAAAAUAAUAUAUACGCAUAUACAUUUAUUUAUUUACUCGGUGACAAUACUCAAAAAUUUUUAUGCAAAAUAUGUACUAUCGUUACAUCAACUGACAAGUGCCAAAAUACCUUGUUUUAAUGUUUUGGCAUGAUUGCACCUCAAUAUCACUUCUAUUCCAGAAAACAUAGAACUUUAACAUACUCAUAAUAUUCUGAAAAUAAAACAAAAGCUUACUCUUUGUAAAACAAAGUUUUGAAACAAGCUUUAAAAAAAGUGUCAAAUGUUUACAAAUAUAUAUGAUUGUGUUUAUGUGUGUACUAUAGAUCACCAGGGAGAAGAUUGAGUUUUGUUUUUGUUUUGUUAUUGUUUCAAUGUUCCUUCUCCUAAAGCCCAGUCAUUUUCUCCUUGUAAAUUCUUUCAGAUGCAUAAUUCCGUGAUAACUUCCUUCAUAGUCAUUCUUCAGUCUCUUCCUCAUCUACUUCACCCUGAAUGCUUCUGUGUGUUUAAUAUGCAUAGAACAUCAUUGUAACCAUAAAUUACUUGCUCUGAAGCUUAUAAUUAUUGUCUAUUCAUUCUCGUUCGGUUCAAUUUUUUUUAUUCUCCAAUCUUUAGUCUCUGUUUCAGUCAGGAAGAUUUUCUGUACCCACCUUUUUUAUGUCUGCUUUUGAACCUAUCAGAGAUGUUCCCACACCUUAAAAGUCUCCCUAGUUUUAUUAGUUAGGGUUCUGCAUACAGAUAGAAGCAACACUAUGUAGAUAGAUAUAUAAGAGGAAACUUACUGUGAGAAUUGGCUCACCUGAUUCUGGAGGCUGAGAAGUCUCCAGAUACGUCUUCCACAAGGUCAAGACCCAGGAAAGCCAGCGGGUUAACUCAUUCUGAGUCCCAAGGCCUGAGAACCGGAGGAACCAGUGUCAGACAGGAGAAGAUGGAUGUCAAGAAGAGCAGGAGAAUU